CCUCAUUAAUCUCAUGCGGUUGAUAAAAAAAAAUGUUUUUUGCAUUUAUUUUUUUAUGUUUCUGGCAUCUGGUUGAUGCAGUGAAGAUACUGUCAGUGAUGGAGGGAGAGUCUGUCACUCUACACAUUAAUAUACGCAGACAAAAUACGUUUUUAGAUAUAUAUUUUAAGAAUUAUAUUCACUGGAGUUGGUUUAGACCUGAAGAUUCUCACAAUGUUAGAAUCAUUGAACAUGAUGUGAAGACGGGUGAUAUUAGAUAUUAUCAUGACGAGAUAUUCAGCGACAGACUACAGAUGGACAAUCAAACUGGAUCUCUGACCAUCAGGAACAUCAGAACAACAGACUCUGGACUUUAUCAAGUGAGGAGUCGAUUCUCAGUAGAAUCAUUCAAUGUUACGGUCUAUGAUAUGUUCACUGUUAACUGUUGUGGUUUCACCGAAGCUGUGAUUCGAUUGGUCAUCUCUGCUGUGGUGGGCGUGGCUACUGUUGCAAUCGUGGUGUAUGACAUCAGAUCCAGAAGAGCGGAGCAGCUAAGCAAAGAGAAAACAUGAAAAUGGAGAUUAAAUGUUAUUUUGAAAAUCUUAAGAAACAAGGAACUUU